UACGUAGGGGGCAAGCGUUGUCCGGAAUCAUUGGGCGUAAAGAGCGUGUAGGCGGCCCGGUAAGUCCGCCGUGAAAGUCCAGGGCUCAACCCUGGAAUGCCGGUGGAAACUGCCGGGCUGGAGUCCGGAAGAGGCGAGUGGAAUUCCCGGUGUAGUGGUGGAAUGCGUAGAUAUCGGGAGGAACACCAGUCGGCGAAGGCGGAGUUCGUCC
rnacentral:rRNA from 1 species